GACGAACGCUGGCGGCGGGCUUAACACAUGCAAGUCGAACGGAAAGGCCCUGCUUGUGUGGUGUGCUCGAGUGGCGAACGGGUGAGUAACACGUGAGUAACCUGCCCUUGACUUUGGGAUAACUUCAGGAAACUGGGGCUAAUACCGGAUAGGAGCUCCUGCUGCAUGGUGGGGGUUGGAAAGUUUCGGCUGUGGGGGGUGGACUCGCGGCUUAUCAGCUUGUUGGUGGGGUAGUGGCUUACCAAGGCUUUGACGGGUAGCCGGCCUGAGAGGGUGACCGGCCAUACUGGGACUGAGGUGAGGCACAAACUCCUACGGGAGGAAGCAGUGGGGAAUAUUGCACAAUGGGCGGAAGCCUGGUGCAGCAACGCCGCGUGCGGGAUGACGGCCUUCGGGUUGAAAACCGCUUUCGCCUGUGACGAAGCGUGAGUGACGGUAAUGGGUAGAGAAGCACCGGCUAACUACGUG
rnacentral:rRNA from 1 species